UUUCUCAUGAUCAGUUUAUCUGGCUCCAGAGCAAGCCGCUGGCCAGCCAUGCACUACCGCCAGACCAGCGCGAGCCCUGGCCGCUGCCUCCGGGAGCUUCGGGGUUAAUGUUUGUGCGUCAAAGUUACGUGGAGAGAAGGGGCCACAGUGCGGAUGGGGGUGGUGGAGCAGUCAGACCUUCUUUUAACGUCUUCACCUGCCGGCGCAACUGGGGAAGUUUCAAGACGGAAGGGAGACAGAAGCGCCCCUGGGGAAGGUGAAGGAGCAGUCUCGUGACUGACAGCAAUGAGUUCUGCAUCCUGAAGCCGCCCAGGCGGGACGUGGAGCUGGCGCCUGGCGGUGGACCCCGCCGGGAGGGACUGAGGCUGGCCCGCUUUCCUGGGGUUUGCAGAGCCACAGGCUGUUUACAAACUGCCUUUUCUGCCCACUGGCUCUCUUAAUGCUCACGACAGCCCAGACAGCAGUCCCACUGAGUGUCUAUUCAACAUCAACUCUGUGCCCGGUAGAGGAGGCAAGGCAUAGAGAACAACUGGAGAUGAAUCAACAGCUGCAUCAGGUUCAGCAGACAUUCAGCUGUAUCUCGCCCUACCCUGGGUGGGGCAGGCAUCUCGUUGGUUCUUGCAGGUUGGAUGUCUACAAGCCUCCAGGGAAUGAACAAAUAACAAAGGAAAUGGCUGACAAAGGGAAAAUUAUGAUGUGAGAAUUUCACUAAAGAAUUUAGCCCACUUUACUCUGUUCGCAAAGGCCCUGGAAUUGGCCCCGAACUGGGGUUUAGGGAAUCUAGCAUUUGUUCCCACGGUGUCCUUAUUAGCCAGGCAACCUGGGCAGAGUCUAAACCUCAAGGAUCUUCCUGUUCUCAUCUGUCAAAUUGGGCUAAUGAUGUCAGUCCACCCCACGAGUCUCUCUACUGUCAGUGUCCCAGUGCUACGGUUCAAACCUGACCUUCGGAGAUGGAUUGACAGAACGUGUGGAGGGAGAGAAUGCAGGCACGAUGUCUCCAGGGCAACUCUGUGGGCUGAGCACAACGGCCUGGCCGUGGCUCAGUGCAGUGCCUUGGGAACAGACACAAUACACUCCAAGUCCAAGGCUAGUUCCUGCACUUCUACUGGAGAACGUGAAAUGAGCAGUGAAGGCCAAACUAAAAACAGGAAGACCAGGCAGAAGAUUCUAGCAGUGGCCCAGGAGGCCCCAUGUACCAGAGAUGGAAGCCAGCAUUCCUUAGCAGACUAUUCAAGGCUCUCCGCCAUCUGGUCCUCUUCCCUUCAGACCUCACCUCCCAUUCUUCUUUCCAAGUCUCUAACCCUCUAAUGAUGCCAGCCACCUGCUAGUUGCAGAACCCACCACACCUUGAUUUGUUCUGUUUUCUACCUGCUGUUAGCUUCCCAUUUUCUCUCCCUAGAUGUAGUCUGUGCAGUGUCCAGGGCCCAGGAAACACUAUUGUCUUCUUGAAGCCUUCUCCGCUGUCUCUCGUAAUUAAUUCCACCUCCUCUGCUGUUCCACAUUUACCUCUGCUUAGCACCUGUCCUAGCCAGCCUUGGGUUAUCACUUCUUGUUUACAUGUUUUCUUACUAUGCUCAGCUCCUUACAGGCAGGAACUCUGAUUCCUUUGUGCUCUUUACCUAGGGGCAUAUAAUAAAUAUUGGCUGAAUGACUCUAUGGAGGCCUUGGGAUUGAUAGCGUCCCUCUUUUAGUCUUGCACUGGGACCUGGAGCAUUCAUGGCAACCUGGAGCAGGAAGCCGGGCUGGGACCGGGGUGAGGUGGGUGAGGAGUCUAGAGCAUAAAAUGUAAGUUGCUCUCAGUUGCUGACCUUGUGCUUGCCUGACCCUGGGAGCUAGUCCCUCUCAGGUGCCUCCCUUGCCUCACCCUCAGCCCUGGCAGGAAGGAAAGAUUGGAGUCUUGGGAUUCAGAAUGAGUCCAUCAAAAGGGACAGGCCAGGUUCCAUAGGGUCCAGUUACUCCUCUCAUACUGACGCAAGCCCAACCCAUGCCCAAGGGCCCCCAGCACGACUCCAGAGCCCACUGGUACCAGAAAAGUGGCAGGUCCCAACAGUCGGGAAUCUGGAAUGGCUGACAUGCGGAACUUUGUAAACAGGCCGAAGGAGUGCGGUCUCUUGAAGGGAACAAGGUACCAGCCUUUGUUCUGGGGCAUGGAACCAGAUAACAGCCUUAGGAUAUGCAGUUAGUAAAAAUAGAGCCCCCAGCUAUUGACUGGGGUCUAGGGCAAGAUCAAGUUUUAUGGACCGUGGCAUUAGGGUAACUAGUUGGAACUUAUGAUGGGGCCACGUUUCCGUAGGGCUGACCUCAGUGGGGUUGGGGAUGUGGAAGGAGGAGAAAGGGCUACAUUCUAGUGGGAGUGGGGUCAGUGAGGACAUUUAGCCCGUGUCUCCGAGAACGUUGUGCCCUGUGUCCGGUGGUAUCAAAGGAGAGUGGGGGUGUCAUGUGAAGCCCAGAACUCAGCUCUUGGCUCUGGAGCUCAUCUCUGAGGGUGUGAAAGACUCCAGGUCAACCUGAAGAAAGGAAAGGCAGAGGAAGGGAGAGAGGGUGAAGCAGAGGCUGUUUAAAUAUGGCCACAGUACAUCGGGAUUGUUUUGGGGAGGGGGUUGUGCUGGGCUCUCAUAAAGAGUAGCCAACUGGUCCAGUUAUGGGGCUCUAGCAGUGGUCCCCUAUUGCCAGGUCAUGGACUAACGGAGUCAAAAUAUCCAGGGACUCAUGUUAACAGUGUAGUUUCUGGGUUUCAAACCUUGGGGAUUCUGGUUCAGUCGGUCUACAGUUCAUUUUAACUGAGGGCUCUCAGAGUGAUGUGCAGCCUGAUUUCGGAGCCACUGGCUGGGAACAGACUUAAAGGAGGCGAAGAGGCUGGCAGCUCAUUUGGAGUCAGUCCCAUGUUUUCCUUUAGAACUCAUUUAAGCCAUGAACGACCUCAAUAAGAAAGCCAAUGAUAGGUAAAGCAGGGCAUGAUUCUAAGACACAUUAAGUGUUUCUAGCUGUUAUACUUCCUUUUCUCUGUAUCAUCCCUUUUUGGGUAUCCUAGUGCUCAUUCUCCUGCUUUGAUGUAGUGGUUUUCAAACUUUAACAUGCAAAAGGACCCCCCACCUCCUCAGAGAGCUUGAGUAAACACACGUGCCUGGCCCUCAUCCCCAGAGUUUCAGAGUAAGUGGGUCUGGGCUGGAGAAGGGCUUGAUUAUUGCACUUCUAACAACUUUCCAAGUGAUGCUAAUGCUCCUGGUCCAGGGAACACACUUUGAGAAACAUUGAUCCAGUGGAACAAAAGGUAGAACAUACACAAAGAAUGAGAAGAAGGGGUAGAAGAAAUAUUUCAAGUAAUAACGACCAAGAAUUUUCCAAAACUAAUGACAGAUACCAAACCACAGAUCCAGGAAGCUCAUAAUAGGUAGGAUAAGUAUCAAAAAAUGUACACCUCUGUGUAUUAUAUUUAAUAUGCAGAAAAUCAAAUAUAAAGAGAAAAUAUUGAAAAAUGCCAGAGAGUGUAAAUACCUUCUCACAGAAGAACAAGGAUAAGAGUUAAAAUGGAGUUGUCCGAAAUCACACAAACAAGAGGGCAGUGUCAUCCUUAAAGUGUUGAAAGAAAAGAACCUCACCAACCUCGAAUUCUAUAUCCAGUGAAAUCAUCCUUCACAAGUGAAGGAAAAAUAAAGGCUUUCUUCGACAAAAGCUGAGGGAAUUCAUGGCCGGUGACUUGCUCCAAAAGAGAUGUUAAAAGAUAUUCUCAGCGAGAAGGAAAAUGAUAUGUCAGAAAUUGGAUCUAUAACAAGAAUGAAUGAGCAUCAGAGAAGGAAGAAGUGCAGAAGCCUUCCAGAUGGGCCAGAGUGAGAAAACACAGGUCAGUACACAUCAUGCAGCUGAGAGCAGAAGACAAGCUGGGAGCAAUCGACAGCUGGAGGGAGAGAACUCACGGUGGCCAUUUUGGAUUUGGGUUGUUGGAACUACUUCUGAGAAGGGCGCUUCUGACCCUGUCUCUCCAAUGCACCAACAACUAAAUGGACAAGAAAACAUAUAAUCGGUUGUUCUGUGACAUUUGGUAUGAAAUAUUUGAUUGAUGCUUUGUCUUGAUGCUCAGAUGCUAGGUAUUCUGGUAUUUCAACAGGUGAAUAUUGAUGCAUUUAUGUUAGAGAUUGGCAAAUAAUGAGCUGAGGAAUAUUAAUGUUAUGCAAUAUCAAGAGAUGCUCUAUGCAGUGUGCUGAGUAUGUAUGUGUCGUGAGAAGGGAAUGUAGGGAAAGCCAGGUUCUGAACCAGGUUAAAUAAAGUGAACAGACUCCUG